rnacentral:rRNA from 1 species
GACGAACCGAGCGAACGUUGUUCGGAAUCACUGGGCUUAAAGGGCGCGUAGGCGGGUUCUCAAGUCCGGGGUGAAAUCCCACAGCUCAACUGUGGAACUGCCUCGGAUACUGGGGGCCUCGAGGGUGGUAGGGGUAUGCGGAACUAUCGGUGGAGCGGUGAAAUGCGUUGAUAUCGAUAGGAACUCCGGUGGCGAAGGCGGCAUACUGGACCACAUCUGACGCUGAGGCGCGAAAGCCAGGGGGAGCAAACGGG